AAAUUGAAGAGUUUGAUCAUGGCUCAGAUUGAACGCUGGCGGCAGGCCUAACACAUGCAAGUCGAACGGUAACAGGAAGCAGCUUGCUGCUUCGCUGACGAGUGGCGGACGGGUGAGUAAUGUCUGGGAAACUGCCUGAUGGAGGGGGAUAACUACUGGAAACGGUAGCUAAUACCGCAUAACGUCGCAAGACCAAAGAGGGGGACCUUCGGGCCUCUUGCCAUCGGAUGUGCCCAGAUGGGAUUAGCUUGUUGGUGGGGUAACGGCUCACCAAGGCGACGAUCCCUAGCUGGUCUGAGAGGAUGACCAGCCACACUGGAACUGAGACACGGUCCAGACUCCUACGGGAGGCAGCAGUGGGGAAUAUUGCACAAUGGGCGCAAG
rnacentral:rRNA from 1 species